rnacentral:lncRNA from 10 species
AGCAGGUAAAGAUGGCAGCUACCAUGUUCCGGGCUACGCUGCGGGGAUGGAGAACCGGUGUCCAGCGGGGCUGCGGGCUACGGCUGUUGAGCCAGACCCAGGGCCCUCCAGAUUACCCCAGGUUUGUGGAGUCUGUGGAUGAAUAUCAGUUUGUGGAGCGCCUGUUACCGGCUACCAGGAUCCCAGAUCCCCCAAAGCAUGAACAUUAUCCUACCCCUAGUGGCUGGCAGCCUCCCAGAGACCCCACCCUGCCCCCAAACUGGCUAAGACAGCUUUCAGUUCCUGACUCCCCAACUUGGUCUCUGCCCUGAAGCAGGGCACUGAACUCUGGGCUGCUUCUCUGUGUGUAAAAUGGGCACAUCUUCCUAAUCUGUUAAUGGUCAGUGGUGUCCCCAAGGAUAGUGCUGGCUUCCAUGGAAACCCUCACUCCUGGAGAUUCCAUUCCAUUUUCAAGUGUACAGCCACAGCAAGGAGCCCGACACUGAUUUG